rnacentral:rRNA from 1 species
AGUGAACGCUGGCGGUAGGCCUGACACAUGCAAGUCGAACGGCAGCACAGUAAGAGCUUGCUCUUACGGGUGGCGAGUGGCGGACGGGUGAGGAAUACAUCGGAAUCUACUUUUUCGUGGGGGAUAACGUAGUGAAACUUACGCUAAUACCGCAUACGACCUACGGGUGAAAGCAGGGGAUCUUCGGACCUUGCGCGAUUGAAUGAGCCGAUGUCGGAUUAGCUAGUUGGCGGGGUAAAGGCCCACCAAGGCGACGAUCCGUAGCUGGUCUGAGAGGAUGAUCAGCCACACUGGAACUGAGACACGGUCCAGACUCCUGCGGGAGGCAGCAGUGGGGAAUAUUGGACAAUGGGCGCAAGCCUGAUCCAGCCAUACCGCGUGGGUGAAGAAGGCCUUCGGGUUGUAAAGCCCUUUUGUUGGGAAAGAAAAGCAGCAGGUUAAUACCCCGCUGUUCUGACGGUACCCAAAGAAUAAGCACCGGCUAACUUCGUG